UACGUAGGGUGCAAGCGUUAAUCGGAAUUACUGGGCGUAAGGCGUGCGCAGGCGGUUGUGUAAGACAGAUGUGAAAUCCCCGGGCUCAACCUGGGAACUGCAUUUGUGACUGCACGGCUGGAGUGCGGCAGAGGGGGAUGGAAUUCCGCGUGUAGCAGUGAAAUGCGUAGAGAUGUGGAGGAACACCGAUGGCGAAGGCAGCCCCCUGGGCUGAGAUUGACGCUCAGGCACGAAAGCGUGGGGAGCAAACAGG
rnacentral:rRNA from 1 species